CCAUCUGGAUCUGCUCCCUUCCUGGCCCUCAUUUGAAAACCAACAGGCUUAUAUAAAGUAUAAAAGUUAACUGUAUACCCAUUAUGGAAAUCAUUAUCAUAGUUCUUCAGGAAGACAGAACUCAAUCUACCUCAAGAUCCAGCUAUAUCUCAAGAUCCAGCUAUACCACUCUUGGGCAUAUGCCCAAAGGAAUUCCAUCCUACCACAGAGACACUUGCUCAACCAUGUUCAUUGUUGCUCUUUUCAUAACAGCCAGAAACUGGAAACAACCUAGACGUCUCUCAAUGGAAGGAUGGAUAAAGACAAUGUGGUACAAUUACAUGAUGGGAUACUACUCAGUCAUUAAAACAACAAUACCAUGAAAUUCACAGAGAACUGGAUAGAACUAUCCUGAGAUCAGUGCCUUGCUCAGCCAUCAUCAGAGAAGCUUCCUCCUGCAACAGAUGGGAACAAAUUCAGAGACCCACAGCCAGAUAUUACACAAAGAGUGUGAGACCAUGGAACAUGCAACACUUGAAGGGAUGUCUUCGUCAAAUCCCUCCCUUUGGGGCUCAGAUGAUCCAUAAAGAGCUUGACAGGGAAGUCCCUCAAAAGCACAUAUGUAGUAUGCACAACAAAUGAAAAACAAAAGGGCUGGGGGAAAAUAAUGACUAUGCCAUGAGCACCGAAAUAAAGGAAAAGAAGAGAAAUGCUGAAACUGAAACUCGAUGCUGCAGCUGGAAGAGCAGAGAUUACUUAGAUGCGAUCAAGCAACCUAAUGCUCCAGUCACCACAGCUGAGACCCAAUCCCAACGCCAUGCUUUCUUUACUCCCUGUGAUGGGCUGUACCUUCCAGUUCUGAACCAAAAUAAAGCCAUUCUCUGUGAAGUCAUUUCCUCUCAGGGAUCUGGUGUCAGCCACUA